rnacentral:rRNA from 1 species
UACGAAGGGGGGCUAGCGUUGUUCGGAAUUACUGGGCGUAAAGCGCGCGCAGGCGGUCUUCCAAGUCAGUGGUGAAAGCCUGGAGCUCAACUCCAGAACUGCCAUUGAAACUGUUAGACUUGAGUACGAGAGAGGUGAGUGGAAUUCCCCAGUGUAGAGGUGAAAUUCGUAGAUAUUGGGAAGAACACCAGUGGCGAAGGCGGCUCACUGGCUCGUAACUGACGCUCAGGCGCGACAGCGUGGGGAUCAAACAGG